AUUUAUAUAGUUUAAUAAAAACAUUACAUUUUCAUUGUAAAAUUAGAAAUUUUUCUUAUAAAUU
rnacentral:tRNA from 1 species